UACAGAGGUCCCAAGCGUUGUUCGGAUUCACUGGGCGUAAAGGGUGCGUAGGCGGUUUGACAAGUCUGAUGUGAAAUCCCGCAGCUUAACUGCGGAACUGCAUUGGAAACUGUUUGACUAGAGGAAUGCAGGGGAGACUGGAAUUCCUGGUGUAGCGGUGGAAUGCGCAGAUAUCAGGAGGAACACCAGUGGCGAAGGGCGGCUCACUGGCCCGGUACUGACGCUGAGGUGCGAAAGCGUGGGGAGCAAACAGG
rnacentral:rRNA from 1 species